rnacentral:rRNA from 1 species
AUUCCAGGUGUAGCGGUGAAAUGCGUAGAGAUCUGGAGGAAUACCGGUGGCGAAGGCGGCCCCUGGACGAAGACUGACGCUCAGGUGCGAAAGCGUGGGGAGCAAACAGGAUUAGAUACCUGGUAGUCCACGCCGUAAACGAUGUCGACUUGGAGGUUGUGCCCUUGAGGCGUGGCUUCCGGAGCUAACGCGUUAAGUCGACCGCCUGGGGAGUACGGCCGCAAGGUUAAAACUCAAAUGAAUUGACGGGGGCCCGCACAAGCGGUGGAGCAUGUGGUUUAAUUCGAUGCAACGCGAAGAACCUUACCUGGUCUUGACAUCCACGGAAGUUUUCAGAGAUGAGAAUGUGCCUUCGGGAACCGUGAGACAGGUGCUGCAUGGCUGUCGUCAGCUCGUGUUGUGAAAUGUUGGGUUAAGUCCCGCAACGAGCGCAACCCUUAUCCUUUGUUGCCAGCGGUCCGGCCGGGAACUCAAAGGAGACUGCCAGUGAUAAACUGGAGGAAGGUGGGGAUGACGUCAAGUCAUCAUGGCCCUUACGACCAGGGCUACACACGUGCUACAAUGGCGCAUACAAAGAGAAGCGACCUCGCGAGAGCAAGCGGACCUCAUAAAGUGCGUCGUAGUCCGGAUUGGAGUCUGCAACUCGACUCCAUGAAGUCGGAAUCGCUAGUAAUCGUGGAUCAGAAUGCCACGGUGAAUACGUUCCCGGGCCUUGUACACACCGCCCGUCACACCAUGGGAGUGGGUUGCAAAAGAAGUAGGUAGCUUAACCUUCGGGAGGGCGCUUACCACUUUGUGAUUCACGACUGGGGUGAAGUCGUAACAAGGAAGCGGAAAG